AAAGAAACAGGAUUACACAGUCCUCAAGAAAUCUGGACAAAGAAAGGAAGUGGACAGUAUCCAACACAGAAUCAAGGAAAGCAGAUACUCAAGAAGUCAUCCAAGCAAUUCCAAGCAUGGCAAAAUGAUCAAUCAGUUCAAGAGAUGAAUCAAAAGCAACAAAACCUCACAGAUGCACUAUCAGUGUCAACUCAAUGCACUCAAGAAAGCAAGCAAGAACAGUCUUGACAAGUCUCUAAUAUUAACACUCAAAACAUAUGCAUGUUCAAAUCAAAAGGUCUUUUAUGGAUGUAAUGGGGCCAAGGACAAGGGAGGAUAAAUAUGGAUAAGAAGCUACAAACCAGAAGAAAUAGAGGAGCAAUGGGGAACAAGUGUAAACACAGUCAAAUAACACCCAAACCCUCCAAUUCAAUCCUCUUCUUGACUCCAUUGUUCACAAUUUUUUUUUUAAUUUUUCUCAUUAUUCUGUAUUUUUUUUUUCUUCCAUCUUGUCUCUUUUCUUUUCUCUCUUUUCAGAACACAACUUCAAGAGACAAGACACACGUAUAUAUAUAAAAACAAAACAAGAAGAGGAACCAACUAGCCAAUUCAUUUGAAUCCCCCGGGAGACCACACUUAUUCCCAAAACAAUUCCAAAGCUCCAAAAUUCCCUAAGGUUAAGGUAAUCAUGGUUUUUCANN
rnacentral:lncRNA from 1 species